ACCGGUUUGGCUCAGUGGAUAGAGCAUCAGCCUGUGGACUGAAAGGUCCCGGGUUCGAUUCC
rnacentral:tRNA from 1 species